GAUGAACGCUAGCUACAGGCUUAACACAUGCAAGUCGAGGGACCGGCGCACGGGUGAGUAACACGUAUCCAACCUGCCCUUUACUCGGGGAUAGCUUGUCGAAAGAAAGAUUAAUACCCGAUAUAAAGGAUGGGGAUGAGUUCCAUUAGGUUGUUGGUGAGGUAACGGCUCACCAAGCCUUCGAUGGAUAGGGGUUCUGAGAGGAAGGUCCCCCCGAUUGGAACUGAGCCACGUUCCAAACUCCUACGAGAGGCAGCAAUGAGGAAUAAUGGUCAAUGGUCUCUAGCCUGCACCAGCCAAGUAGCGUGAAGGAUGAAGGCUUAUGGGUCGUAGACUUCUUUUAUAUAAGAAUAUGUAUUAUAUGAAUAAGGAUCGGCUAACUCCGUGCCAGCCGCCGCGGUAAUUC
rnacentral:rRNA from 1 species